rnacentral:lncRNA from 1 species
CAAAUGGUGUGCCACCUCACUCUAUGAUAAUAAAGAGGCCAAAACAUACGGAAACUGCAAAUCAGAUUGCAAGGACAACACAAUUGAUCCAACUACAAUUAAACCAAUCGGAAGUCGAUGCAAAACUACUCAAGAAGUUGACUGCAUAUUCCCAUUUAUUUAUGCUGGUGUGACUUAUAACUCAUGCGCGGACGAUGCCAAUAACGCAAUCAAAUGGUGUGCUACCUCACUCUAUGAUAAUAAAGAGGCCAAAACUUACGGAAACUGCAAAUCGGAUUGCAAGGACAACACAAUUGGUCCAACUACAGUUAAACCAUUAGGG